CCAAUAGCGUAUAUUAAAGUUGUUGCAGUUAAAAAGCUCGUAGUUGAAUUUCGGGAUUAGUACGCUGGUCGUGCCUUCGGUAUGUACUGGUGUUACUGGUUCCUACCUUCUGACGAACCGUCAUGUCAUUAAUUUGGUGUGGCGGGAAAUCAGGACUGUUACUUUGAAAAAAUUAGAGUGUUUAAAGCAGGCUCGCGCUUGAAUACAUUAGCAUGGAAUAAUGAAAUAGGACGUUCGAUCCUAUUUUGUUGGUUUCUAGGAUCAACGUAAUGAUUAAUAGGGAUAGUUGGGGGCAUUAGUAUUCAAUUGUCAGAGGUGAAAUUCUUGGAUUUAUUGAAGACUAACUACUGCGAAAGCAUUUGCCAAGGAUGUUUUCAUUAAUCAAGAACGAAAGUUAGGGGAUCGAAGACGAUCAGAUACCGUCGUAGUCUUAACCAUAAACUAUGCCGACUAGGGAUCGGAUGAUGUUAAUUUUUUAAUGACUCAUUCGGCGCCUUACG
rnacentral:misc_RNA from 1 species